rnacentral:SRP_RNA from 1 species
GCCGGGCAUGGUGGCGCAUGCCUGUAAUCCCAGCUACUCAGGAGGCUGAGGCAGGAGAAUCUCUUGAACCCAGGAGGCGGAGGUUGCAGUGAGCCAAGAUCACGCCACUGCACUCCAGCCUGGGUGAUAGAGCAAGACUCUGUCUCAA